rnacentral:rRNA from 1 species
GACGAACGCUGGCGGCGUGCUUAACACAUGCAAGUCGAACGGAAAGGCCCUGCUUUUGUGGGGUUCUCGAGUGGCGAACGGGUGCGUAACACGUGAGUAACCUGCCCUUGACUUUGGGAUAACUUCAGGAAACUGGGGCUACUACCGGAUAGGAGCUCCUGCUGCAUGGUGGGGGUUGGAAAUUUUCGGCGGUUGGGGAUGGACUCGCGGCUUAUCGGCUUGUUGGUUGGGUAGUUGCUUACCAAGGCUUUGACGGGUAGCCGGCCUGAGAGGGUGACCGGCCACAUUGGGACUGAGAUACGGCCCAGACUCCUACGGGAGGCAGCAGUGGGGAAUAUUGCACAAUGGGCGGAAGCCUGAUGCAGCAACGCCGCGUGCGGGAUGACGGCCUUCGGGUUGUAAACCGCUUUCGCCUGUGACGAAGCGUGAGUGACGGUAAUGGGUAAAGAAGCACCGGCUAACUACGUG